GGCCUUCCCGCCUCCGCUGCCCCCGAGCCCGCCAGGCCCCGGCCUGCGCAGCGCUGCCCCCUCCGCCUCCACUGCCUGUUCCGCUCUGCGCCCCCGGCCGGGCGCCCCCGCGCGCACAGGCUCCGUCCUUGGCCCCCGGGCUCGGAGAGCAGCGAGCGCGAGCAGCGGGCCUGGCCUGGCCACGGCUUCAGCCGCCAGGGGCCAGACGCGCGCCCCUCCUGCGCCCGGCCCCCGGUCUGGGCUGACGACAGGGCUUUGCUGGGCUUCGUGCUGCUGCCACCGUGGGGUAGAUGAGGACUGUGGCAUGAAGUUGAUCAAACCCGGCUGCUUAUCUUCCAGGUUGACCCCAAGGGGCCUUAAGGUACCGUUCAGUUUUCGGGCUGUCCUACAAAAACCAACCACCGUGCUAUUCCGUUAGGAGCUGAACAUGAGAAGGCCCUGAGCUCCUUAGCCGGGGAAAAUACAACAAUGUCCCAAAGAACAUACAAGCUGCAGUGGCGUAGCUAGGUGGAGCGAACAGAGGGAGCGGCUAACCAAGAGCGACAGAGCCAAUAGGAUACACUGAGAAGCCCGGCAGAGGGAAUAGCCAACAAAAACAUCCUAGUUUUCUCCUUAGAUGAAGGUGCAGAUCGCAAUUACCCUAGCCUGGUUCUGUGAGCAGGCCUCUGGAGGACACAUUUUAUUAUGCAGCCAAUGGGAGCUGCAGGGGUGGUGCCCUGCGUGGAGGAAGCAUGCGGAGCUGCCCGGCCAUGCCUCUGCCUAGCAGCUAAGCAAGGGGGAUGUCGUUUCCGGGGAGCCACCCAGCAUUAGUGCAAGAGAUGAGGACAAAGUUCUUCAGACUGACCAAGAGAAAAGAUCAGAGUUCAAAUGAUGGUGAGGCCAGAGGGGGUCUGAUGACUCUGCAAUGACACAUUUCUAUGCAGAGCAACAUAACCACCAAAAAUUCAGCAGCGUAAAGUAAUCCAGUCAUUACUGAGAAGCAGGAAAGAAGCCACAUCAGCAGACACAAAUCUUUGAAGCAGAUGUUCCUAGUCUUUCUGCCAACCCUGGUGGGUGCUGGAUGGGCAAGGACAGCAUCCCAAACUGACAGCAUGCUUAUCUCAUGAAAGGAGAGUCCCAGGCCAGCCUGGCUGUAAAGUGCUUCAAGGAUGUUGGGUGAGCAAUACACUACAAGACAUGAGAGUAUCCUGUUAAUUAAGUCUAGGCUCUAGAAUGCAUGUCAUGAUUUUAUUUUAUAUGUAUACAUUUGUUUCCAGUACUUCUACUUGCUAUUACUUGAAUUCUGUGCUUUGUUAAAUAAAUUUAUACUGGAUUUCACUGUAAACAUAUGUAAGUGCUGUGUGUUAAGCGGAACAGUGAUCUGAGGUGAAACUGGUAAGCUGAGAUGUACUGUUUCUUUAGAAGCAGAGGAUCUGUGAAUACUGCUAUUGUUCAGUGGACCAGGGCCUGGACACUCCAGGAGAUGCUCAGAAGGUUCACGGGUUGGCAUGUGCCAAUUGCUACCUGUAGAGUGGCAGCAGGGCCUGCGAGGCUAGAGGGGAGCGCUUGUGUUGCCCGUGACCAGUGCAGCUGGGGAGCUGACCCAAAGCAGGCACAAAGUUUCCUCACACGAAGGGCAGGUGGUAGCAAGGUGCCUCACAACCCUGGGUAUCCCGGGAAACAUAACAAUAUGAUGUUCAAACAAAUGCAGAGAAUAUCUUAAAGGUCAGAAUUCACAAUUGUGUUCUGAGGGAAUCCUGGCACAGCUGCUAAUUGCCUCUAAAGGACAUUAAAUCAGUAUAUUUUUGUAGGUUUUUCAGAGGGAAUGUGGGGGAACAUUUGUUAUUUUUGCAUUGACAGAACAAUUUAUGCUUGCAGAACUGGAUGUUUCUGUCAUGGGUGAUUAAACCUCCAGUUUUGUUUGAUUUGAAGUUAGAGGACUGUAAAUUUGAAAAGCUCAUGAAAAACAAAUUAUGCAUUCUAUUACAUGUAGAUCCACUAGGGGACUUCAGAAAGAAAUGUUUAAGAUUCAGUACCAAGAUAAGUAAAGGCAGACACUUCAAGUCACACACUAUGGACUUGGCUCCACAAAUGAGAGAAAUAUCUCAACAUUCAAAAAUAACUGAGCAAUUAGCAAGAAAUUAAAUUACAGGUAAAUUGAGUAAAAGAUGCCUAUUAUGUUUACAGGAAUUUGCAAGAAAACUAGAAAACCUGCCUCCAAUCUGUAGCAAUCUCAAAAUGGAAUUAUUUAAUUUUAAAAAGCCACGGAGCCUUGAUGCCCUGCUGCCUCCUCGACCCUGUUUUGUACAGCAGGUAUAAUCAGCACUCAGAAGUACUAUUCUGCUAAUUUUAAGAUCAAAGGCAGUUUGUUUCUACGAUGCAAGAUAUUUAACAUUUUUCUCACCAUCUGAUAUACAGAAAUCUGUGUUGUAUUUUAUAUUCAACUGGAAUGAUUUUAAGAAUGCAAAUGCAUAAUUGUACAUAUGUUUAAUAGGUGAUGUGCAAUUCUAACCUGAAGUAAUG